AUUGAACGCUGGCGGCAUGCCUUACACAUGCAAGUCGAACGGCAGCAUGAUCUAGCUUGCUAGAUUGAUGGCGAGUGGCGAACGGGUGAGUAAUACAUCGGAACGUGCCCUGUAGUGGGGGAUAACUAGUCGAAAGAUUAGCUAAUACCGCAUACGACCUGAGGGUGAAAGUGGGGGACCGCAAGGCCUCAUGCUAUAGGAGCGGCCGAUGUCUGAUUAGCUAGUUGGUGAGGUAAAGGCUCACCAAGGCGACGAUCAGUAGCUGGUCUGAGAGGACGAUCAGCCAAACUGGGACUGAGACACGGCCCAGAGUCCUACGGGAGGCAGCAGUGGGGAAUUUUGGACAAUGGGGGCAACCCUGAUCCAGCAAUGCCGCGUGUGUGAAGAAGGCCUUCGGGUUGUAAAGCACUUUUGUCCGGAAAGAAAUCGCACUUACUAAUAUUAGGUGUGGAUGACGGUACCGGAAGAAUAAGGACCGGCUAACUAUGUGCCAGCCGCCGCGGUAACAC
rnacentral:rRNA from 1 species